GCUUGUCUCAAAGAUUAAGCCAUGCAUGUCUAAGUGUAAAUAAGUCUAUACUGUGAAACUGCGAAUGGCUCAUUAAAUCAGUUAUCGUUUAUUUGAUGAUCUCUUACUACUUGGAUAACCGUAGUAAUUCUAGAGCUAAUACAUGCACAAAAUCCCGACUUACGAAGGGAUGUAUUUAUUAGAUACAAACCAACAUCGUGGUGAUUCAUAAUAACUGAUCGAAUCUCAAAUUUGAGAUAAAUCAUUCAAGUUUCUGCCCUAUCAGCUUUCGAUGGUAGUGUAUUGGACUACCAUGGCAGUAACGGGUAACGAAGAAUUAGGGUUCGAUUUCGGAGAGGGAGCCUGAGAAAUGGCUACCACAUCCAAGGAAGGCAGCAGG
rnacentral:rRNA from 1 species